rnacentral:tRNA from 1 species
CGGGGCGUAGCGCAGUCUGGCUAGCGCACUUGCAUGGGGUGCAAGGGGUCGCUGGUUCGAAUCCAGUCGCCCCGACCA